rnacentral:rRNA from 1 species
UAAUACGGAGGUGGCAAGCGUUGUUCGGAUUCAUUGGGUGUAAAGGGCAUGUAGGUGUCCUUGUAAGUUCUGGCUGAGAUCCUUCGGCUCAACCGAAGAACGUGUCAGAAUACUGCAAGGAUUGAGUACGGGAGAGGAGAACGGAAUUCCCGGUGUAAGGGUGAAAUCUGUAGAUAUCGGGAGGAACACCAGUGGCGAAGGCGGUUCUCUGGUCCGUAACUGACACUGAAAUGCGAAAGCUAGGGGAGAAAACAGGAUUAGAUACCCUGGUAUUCCUAGCCGUAAACGAUGGGCACUAGGUGUCGGCUCGCAAGGGUCGGUGCCGCAGUUAACACAUUAAGUGCCCCACCUGGGGACUACGACCGCAAGGUUG